rnacentral:piRNA from 1 species
UGGCCUUGCGGGCCCGGAACUACGAGUACC